rnacentral:rRNA from 1 species
AAGUUCCGACCUGCACGAAUGGUGUAACGAUGGCCAAGCUGUCUCCACCCGAGACUCAGUGAAAUUGAAAUCGCUGUUAAGAUGCAGCGUAUCCGCGGCUAGACGGAAAGACCCCGUGAACCUUUACUAUAGCUUCACAGUGAACUUUGAACCUAUUUGUGUAGGAUAGGUGGGAGGCUUUGAAACCAGGUCGCUAGAUCUGGUGGAGCCAUCCUUGAAAUACCACCCUGGUAUGUUUGAGGUUCUAACUCGGGUCCCUUAUCGGGAUCGAGGACACUGUGUGGUGGGUAGUUUGACUGGGGCGGUCUCCUCCCAAAGAGUAACGGAGGAGCACGAAGGUGCGCUAAGCAUGGUCGGACAUCAUGCGGUUAGUGUAAUGGCAUAAGCGCGCUUAACUGCGAGACAGACACGUCGAGCAGGUACGAAAGUAGGUCAUAGUGAUCCGGUGGUUCUGUAUGGAAGGGCCAUCGCUCAACGGAUAAAAGGUACUCCGGGGAUAACAGGCUGAUACCGCCCAAGAGUUCACAUCGACGGCGGUGUUUGGCACCUCGAUGUCGGCUCAUCACAUCCUGGGGCUGAAGCCGG